ensembl:snRNA U4 U4 spliceosomal RNA
AGGUUUGCACAGUGGCAGUAUCGUAGCCAAUGAGGUUUAUCCGAGGCAUGAUUAUUGCUAAUUAAAAACUUUUCCCAAUACCCUGGCAAGGUAACUGCAGUCUUAGACUGCUUCUAGCCACAUAUACUUGGGCCAGCCAGUUUUUUGAGCCUCAGUUUUCCAACCCUCAGUGUG